ACCUUUUUGUAUUGGCUUUAUUAUUGUGUAGUGUAGUUAUCACACAUAUAUACAUAUACACAAUCAUUUCUUGACGAAGGUCAUCAGCUGUAAUGAUGCUACCAGCUCUGUUGAGAUCUUCCAAGAAUUCGACAGCUAGUGUACCGUUAUAGAGUUCGUCGCCACCCUUCUCAGCUAUUAUAUUGAGCGUUUUGCAGAAAGGCUCGUUAGGUUUCACUAGUGUACCUGGUUUGUGAAAUUUAUUUUUUGCACUAUUAAAGAACAUUUUCCUGUAA